rnacentral:rRNA from 1 species
GAUGAACGCUGGCGGCGUGCUUAACACAUGCAAGUCGAACGGAAAGGCCCAAGCUUGCUUGGGUACUCGAGUGGCGAACGGGUGAGUAACACGUGGGUGAUCUGCCCUGCACUUCGGGAUAAGCCUGGGGAACUGGGUCUAAUACCGGAUAGGACGAUGGUUUGGAUGCCAUUGUGGAAAGUUUUUUCGGUGUGGGAUGAGCUCGCGGCCUAUCAGCUUGUUGGUGGGGUAAUGGCCUACCAAGGCGUCGACGGGUAGCCGGCCUGAGAGGGUGUACGGCCACAUUGGGACUGAGAUACGGCCCAGACUCCGACGGGAGGCAGCAGUGGGGAAUAUUGCACAAUGGGCGCAAGCCUGAUGCAGCGACGCCGCGUGGGGGAUGACGGCCUUCGGGUUGUAAACUCCUUUCGCUAGGGACGAAGCGUUUUUGUGACGGUACCUGGAGAAGAAGCACCGGCUAACUACGUG